AGCGCACACAAGAAAUGGGGCCUGCGGCUUAAUUUGACUCAACACGGUGCAACUCACCCGGCCCGGACACAGGAAGGAUUGACAGAUUAAGAGCUCUUUCUUGAUUCUGUGACAGGUGGUGCAUGGCCGUUUCUAGUUGGUGGAGUGAUUUGUCUGCUUUAUUGCGAUAACGAGCGAGACUCUAGCCUACUAAAUAGACUCGAUAUCAUUUAACGUAUCGAGGUCUUCUUAGAGGGACAAGCGGUGUUCAGCCGCACGAAACUGAGCA
rnacentral:rRNA from 1 species